CAGGGGGUAGGCAAGCCGCCAGCCUUGGGAGCUGGACAGCGUGGGUUCGAUCCCCACUCCCCUGA
rnacentral:tRNA from 1 species